UACAGGGGGUGCAAACGUUGCUCGGAAUCAUUGGGCGUAAAGCGCACGUAGGCGGCGCAGUAAGUCGGACGUGAAAUCCCUCGGCUCAACCGAGGACGUGCAUCCGAAACUACUGUGCUCGAGUAUGGAAGAGGGUCGCGGAAUUCUCGGUGUAGAGGUGAAAUUCGUAGAUAUCGGGAGGAACACCAGUGGCGAAGGCGGCGACCUGGGCCAAUACUGACGCUGAGGUGCGAAAGCGUGGGGAGCAAACAGG
rnacentral:rRNA from 1 species